rnacentral:rRNA from 1 species
UUAUGGCUCAGGAUGAACGCUAGCGGCAGGCUUAACACAUGCAAGUCGAGGGGCAUCGGGAGUAGCAAUACUUGCCGGCGACCGGCGCAAGGGUGCGUAACGCGUGAGCAACAUGCCCGUAUCAGGGGGAUAAUCCAUGGAAACGUGGUCUAAUACCCCAUAGUAAUUAUGUAAGGCAUCUUAUAUAAUUUAAAGCUUUGGUGGAUACGGAUUGGCUCGCGUGACAUUAGCUAGAUGGUAAGGUAACGGCUUACCAUGGCUACGAUGUCUAGGGGUUCUGAGAGGAAGGUCCCCCACACUGGAACUGAGACACGGUCCAGACUCCUACGGGAGGCAGCAGUGAGGAAUAUCGGACAAUGGAUGGAAAUCUGAUCCAGCCAUGCCGCGUGCAGGAAGACGGCCCUAUGGGUUGUAAACUGCUUUUGUAUGGGAGCAAUAAGGGCUACGCGUAGUCCGAUGAGAGUACCAUACGAAUAAGCACCGGCUAACUCCGUGCCAGCCGCGGC